rnacentral:rRNA from 1 species
GAUGAACGCUGGCGGCGUGCCUAAUACAUGCAAGUCGAGCGAACAGACGAGGAGCUUGCUCCUCUGACGUUAGCGGCGGACGGGUGAGUAACACGUGGAUAACCUACCUAUAAGACUGGGAUAACUUCGGGAAACCGGAGCUAAUACCGGAUAAUAUAUUGAACCGCAUGGUUCAAUAGUGAAAGACGGUUUUGCUGUCACUUAUAGAUGGAUCCGCGCCGCAUUAGCUAGUUGGUAAGGUAACGGCUUACCAAGGCAACGAUGCGUAGCCGACCUGAGAGGGGGGUCCGCCACACCUGAACUGGGAACCGGGCCCGACCCCUAACGGAAGGAGCAGGAGGGAAACCUUCGGAAUGGGGCGAAGGCUGGACGAGGCACCGCGCGGGGGUGAUUGAGGGCCUCCGGUUGGAAAACCCCUUUAAUUGGGGAGAAAAAAAGGUGAAAGAAACUAGCCAGGCUUGACGGUACCUAAUCAGAAAGCCACGGCUAACUACGUG